UGGACUUCUGUAAUAUUAAAUGUGUACCAAG
rnacentral:piRNA from 1 species